AAAAUAUGAACUUUCAGAGAUAAUCUACAGGAUUUGGAAUUUCUACUAACAAAAAAGCAAAUUUUCUAGAAAAUGCAUAUAUUAUCCAAAUAGAUCAAUUUUACAGAAUUAAUUCUUCUAAAAACAAAUUGGUACUUUGGCAUGUAUAUCCUUUAGAAUGUGCUCACUUGAUUAUUUACAUCUAAAAAAAAAAAGCAACAUAUAUAUACCCCC
rnacentral:lncRNA from 1 species